GGAGCUGUAGCUCAAUGGUAGAGCAUUUCCUUUGCAUGUAGGAGGUUCCUUGAUCAACCCCUGUCAUCUCCA
rnacentral:tRNA from 1 species